GAUAAACGCUGGCGGCGUGCCUAAUGCAUGCAAGUCGCACGGAGCGCUCUUUCGGGGGUGCUGAGUGGCGAACGGGUGAGGAACGCGUGGACAACCUACCCCGGCGUGGGGGAGUACCCGCCAGAAAUGGCGGCUAAUACCGCGUACGGUUCUCUGGCGAGGGGCGUGGGGAAAGGAAAGCCGUGAGGCGCGCUGGGAGGGGUCUGCGGCCGAUUAGCUGGUUGGCGGGGUAAUGGCUCACCAAGGCGAUGAUCGGUAGCUGGUCUGAGAGGAUGAUCAGCCACACGGGGACUGAGACACCGGCCCCGACUCCUACGGGAGGCAGCAGCAAGGAAUUUUCCGCAAUGGGGCAACCCCUGACGGAGCAACGCCGCGUGACGGAUGACGCCUCUUGGGGUGUAAACGUCUUUUGCCGAGGGAGAGUAUGGACGGUACUCGCGAAUCAGGACCGGCUAACUACGUGCCAGCAGCCG
rnacentral:rRNA from 1 species